rnacentral:ncRNA from 1 species
UUUAACUAGGGGUGCUUACCUUAUUAAAGUAGGCUGAGAGAUAUUUAUUAUCAACUCUUGUACCUGAUGUGGAUAAUGCCAACGUAGGAAAUGUUAUUA